CCUCGGUGAAGAUACGAUGACGAGUCGGAUCGGGAUUUUGUUUGCUGCGGGGUGGCCGCUUCAGCUCGCGUUCUGCGUUCCUGCUUCGGCUCCCGCCGGCAAUACAAAGUCGUUUUUCUGCUGAAGAUGCUGAGGCAUUUGUCUGAGAGGG
ensembl:snoRNA SNORD15 Small nucleolar RNA SNORD15